AUUCGGCUUACGAGUCCCAAAUAGGACGAAACGCGCGUCCUGGAU
rfam:Schistosoma haematobium scaffold812_8, whole genome shotgun sequence.